GCCCGGGUGGUGGAAUUGGUAGACACGUUGGACUUAAAAUCCAAUGGCUGUAUAAGCCGUGCCGGUUCAAGUCCGGCUCCGGGCA
rfam:Candidatus Marinimicrobia bacterium TMED144 106939, whole genome shotgun sequence.